GAUGAAGAACGCAGCGAAAUGCGAUAAGUAAUGCGAAUUGCAGAAUUCAGUGAGUCAUCGAAUCUUUGAACGCACAUUGCGCCCUGUGGUAUUCCGCAGGGCAUGCCUGUUCGAGCGUCACUUCAACCCUCAAGCUCUGCUUGGUGUUGGGCCCUGCCCGCUGCGGCCGGCCCUAAAGACAGUGGCGGUGCCGCCUGGCCCUGAGCGUAGUACAUCUCUCGCUCCAGUGCCCGGUGGUAGCCUGCCAGAACCCCAACUCUCGUGGUUGACCUCGGAUCAGGUAGGGAUACCCGCUGAACUUAAGCAUAUCAAUAAGCGGAGGA
rnacentral:misc_RNA from 1 species